GACGAACGCUGGCGGCGUGCUUAACACAUGCAAGUCGAACGGAAAGGCCUCAGCUUGCUGGGGUACUCGAGUGGCGAACGGGUGAGUAACACGUGGGUGAUCUGCCUUGCACUCUGGGAUAAGCUUGGGAAACUGGGUCUAAUACCGGAUAUGAACUGCCUUUAGUGUGGUGGUUGGAAAGUUUUUUCGGUGCAAGAUGAGCUCGCGGCCUAUCAGCUUGUUGGUGGGGUAAUGGCCUACCAAGGCGUCGACGGGUAGCCGGCCUGAGAGGGUGUACGGCCACAUUGGGACUGAGAUACGGCCCAGACUCCUACGGGAGGCAGCAGUGGGGAAUAUUGCACAAUGGGCGGAAGCCUGAUGCAGCGACGCCGCGUGGGGGAUGACGGCCUUCGGGUUGUAAACUCCUUUCGACAGGGACGAAGCUUUUUGUGACGGUACCUGUAUAAGAAGCACUGGCUAACUACGUG
rnacentral:rRNA from 1 species